rnacentral:rRNA from 1 species
CACGAAGUUAGCCGGAGCUUCUUCUCCGGGUACCGUCAUUAUCGUCCCCGGUGAAAGAAUUUUACAAUCCUAAGACCUUCAUCAUUCACGCGGCAUGGCUGCGUCAGGCUUUCGCCCAUUGCGCAAGAUUCCCUACUGCUGCCUCCCGUAGGAGUCUGGGCCGUGUCUCAGUCCCAGUGUGGCUGAUCAUCCUCUCAGACCAGCUAUGGAUCGUAGCCUUGGUGAGCCAUUACCCCACCAACUAGCUAAUCCAACGCGGGCCGCUCCUAUGGCGAUAAAUCUUUCCGCCGUAGCGCUCAUGCGGUAUUAGCUGAAGUUUCCCUCAGUUGUUCCGCACCAUAGGGCACGUUCCCACGCGUUACUCACCCGUCCGCCGCUCCCCCGAAAGGGCGCUCGACUUGCAUGUAUUAGGCCUGCCGCCAGCGUUCGCUCUGAGCCAGGAUCAAACUCU